CGGUGGAUGCCUAGGCAGUUAGAGGCGAUGAAGGACGUGUAAGUCUGCGAAAAGCUGUGGUGAGUUGACAAAACGCAUUUAGCCACAGAUGUCCGAAUGGGGAAACCCAGUGCAUUUAUGCACUAUCUGCAACUGAAUACAUAGGUUGUAGAGGCAAACGAGGGGAACUGAAACAUCUAAGUACCCUUAGGAAAAGAAAUCAACCGAGAUUUCCCUAGUAGCGGCGAGCGAACGGGAAUUAGCCCUUAAGCUAAUUGUAAGCCAGUGGAAUGUGUUGGAAAGCACAACGGUACAAGGUGAUAGUCCUGUACACAAAGGCGAGCUUUAAGUGAAAUCGAGUAGGUCGGGACACGUGUUAUCUUGACUGAAUAUGGGGGGACCAUCCUCCAAGGCUAAAUACUCCUAACUGACCGAUAGUGAACCAGUACCGUGAGGGAAAGGCGAAAAGAACCCCUGUGAGGGGAGUGAAAUAGAACCUGAAACCGUAUACGUACAAGCAGUGGGAGCAGACUUGUUCUGUGACUGCGUACCUUUUGUAUAAUGGGUCAGCGACUUAUAUUUUGUAGCAAGGUUAACCGAAUAGGGGAGCCGUAGUGAAAGCGAGCGUUAACUGCGCGUCUAGUUGCAAGGUAUAGACCCGAAACCCGGUGAUCUAGCCAUGGGCAGGUUGAAGGUUGAGUAACAUCAACUGGAGGACCGAACCCACUGACGUUGAAAAGUCAGGGGAUGACCUGUGGCUGGGGGUGAAAGGCCAAUCAAACCGGGAGAUAGCUGGUUCUCCCCGAAAUCUAUUUAGGUAGAGCCUCGGACGAAUUCCAUUGGGGGUAGAGCACUGUUAAGGCUAGGGGGUCAUCCCGACUUACCAACCCUUUGCAAACUCCGAAUACCCAUGAGUGCUAUCCGGGAGACACACGGCGGGUGCUAACGUCCGUCGUGGAGAGGGAAACAACCCAGACCGCCAGCUAAGGUCCCAAAAUAUUGCUAAGUGGGAAACGAUGUGGGAAGGCAUAGACAGCUAGGAGGUUGGCUUAGAAGCAGCCAUCCUUUAAAGAAAGCGUAAUAGCUCACUAGUCGAGUCGGCCUGCGCGGAAGAUGUAACGGGGCUAAGCAAUAUACCGAAGCUGCGGCAGCACGUUUACGUGCUGGGUAGGGGAGCGUUGUGUAAGUGGAUGAAGGUGAGUUGUAAAGCUUGCUGGACAUAUCACAAGUGCGAAUGCUGACAUGAGUAACGAUAAUGCGGGUGAAAAACCCGCACGCCGGAAGACCAAGGUUUCCUGUCCCAUGCUAAUCAGGGCAGGGUAAGUCGGCCCCUAAGGCGAGGCAGAAAUGCGUAGUCGAUGGAAAACAGGUUAAUAUUCCUGUACCGGUUGUUACUGCGAUGGGAUGACGGAGAAGGUUAGGUUAGCCAACUGUUGGAUAUGUUGGUUUAAGUGUGUAGG
rnacentral:rRNA from 1 species